AUUGAACGCUGGCGGCAUGCCUUACACAUGCAAGUCGAACGGUAACGCGGGGCAACCUGGCGACGAGUGGCGAACGGGUGAGUAAAGCAUCGGAACGUGCCCAGUAGUGGGGGAUAGCCCGGCGAAAGCCGGAUUAAUACCGCAUACGACCUAAGGGUGAAAGGGGGGGAUCGCAAGACCUCUCGCUAUUGGAGCGGCCGAUGUCAGAUUAGCUAGUUGGUGGGGUAAAAGCUACCCAAGGCGACGAUCUGUAGCUGGUCUGAGAGGACGACCAGCCACACUGGGACUGAGACACGGCCCAGACUCCUACGGGAGGCAGCAGUGGGGAAUUUUGGACAAUGGACGAAAGUCUGAUCAGCCAUGCCGCGUGCGGGAAGAAGGCCUUCGGGUUGUAAACCGCUUUUGUCAGGGAAGAAAUCCUUUGAGCUAAUACCUCGGGGGGAUGACGGUACCUGAAGAAUAAGCACCGGCUAACUACGUGCCAGCAGCCGCCGUAA
rnacentral:rRNA from 1 species